UGCUAAGAGUGGUCAACUUGGUCAUUAGAGAAGUAAAGUCGAACAAGGUUCCGUAGUGACCUGCGGAAGGUCAUUA
rnacentral:rRNA from 1 species